GAGUAGGUCUCGUAGGUGACCUGCGGAGGGAUCAUUACACAAUAAAAUAUGAAGGCUGUACGCGGCUGUGCUCUCGGGCCAGUUUUGCGGAGGCUGAAUUAUUUAUUACCCUUGUCUUUUGCGCACUUGUUGUUUCCUGGGCGGGUUCGCCCGCCACGGACCACAUCAUAAACCUUUUUUAUGCAGUUGCAAUCAGCGUCAGUAUAACAAAUGUAAAUCAUUUACAACUUUCAACAACGGAUCUCUUGGUUCUGGCAUCGAUGAAGAACGCAGCGAAAUGCGAUACGUAGUGUGAAUUGCAGAAUUCAGUGAAUCAUCGAAUCUUUGAACGCACAUUGCGCCCUUUGGUAUUCCAAAGGGCAUGCCUGUUCGAGCGUCAUUUGUACCCUCAAGCUUUGCUUGGUGUUGGGCGUUUUUUGUCUUUGGUUGCCAAAGACUCGCCUUAAAAGGAUUGGCAGCCGGCCUACUGGUUUCGCAGCGCAGCACAUUUUUGCGCUUGCAAUCAGCAAAAGAGGACGGCAAUCCAUCAAGACUCCUUCUCACGUUUGACCUCGGAUCAGGUAGGGAUACCCGCUGAACUUAAGCAUAUCAAUAAGCCGGAGGAAA
rnacentral:rRNA from 1 species